rnacentral:rRNA from 1 species
UACGAAGGGGGCUAGCGUUGUUCGGAAUUACUGGGCGUAAAGCGCACGUAGGCAGAUAUUUAAGUCAGGGGUGAAAUCCCAGAGCUCAACUCUGGAACUGCCUUUGAUACUGGGUAUCUAGAGUAUGGAAGAGGUGAGUGGAAUUCCGAGUGUAGAGGUGAAAUUCGUAGAUAUUCGGAGGAACACCAGUGGCGAAGGCGGCUUACUGGUCCGGAACUGACGCUGAGGUGCGAAAGCGUGGGGAGCAAACAGG